rnacentral:snoRNA from 1 species
GGCGAUGACGAGCCUCACGGUAGCUGAAACGUGAUGAGGGGUAUACUGACUGAGC